rnacentral:lncRNA from 1 species
ACAGUGAUUAUCACUCUGGUAGUUAUCACUCUGGUAGGCAGUGAUCAUCACUCUGGUAGACAUCACUCUGCUAGGCAGUGAUUAUCACUCUGGUAGACAUCACUCUGGUAGGCAGUGAUUAUCUUUCUGGUAGACAGUGAUUAUCACUGGUAGGCAUCACUCUGGUAGACAGUGAUUAUCACUCUGGUAGACAGUGAUUGUCACUCGGGUAGGCAGUGAUUAUCUCUCUGGUAGACAGUUAUUAUCACUCUGGUAGGCAGUGAUUAUCACUCAGGUAGGCAUCACUCCGGUAGGCAGUGAUUAUCACUCUGGUAGACAGCGAUUGUCACUCGGGUAGGCAGUGAUUAUCUCUCUGGUAGACAGUGAUUAUCACUCUGGUAGGCAUCACUCGGGUAGGCAGUCAUUAUCUCUCUGGUAGGCAGUGAUUAUCUCUCUGGUAGGCAGUGAUUGUCACUCUGGUAGGCAGUGAUUAUCACUCUGGUAGGCAUCACUCUGGUAGGCAGUCAUCAUCACUCUGGUAAACAGUGAUUAUCACUCUGACUGAUUGUGUGUACAGUAUGUGGGAGGUGUGUAGUUGAUGAAUCAGAAGUGAAACCCAGACUAAACUGUCCUUACAAGUGUGUUUGUAAAAAAUAGUUAACCCCCCCCCCCCCCCACCACACUCACACACACUUUUAGGAGGAGCACUGGCGUUUGGAUGGGCCUGGAUCUGUCCAAGUGGGAGAAGGAGAGCCUAGAGAGGGGACAGAGUCACCGCAGAGCCCCAGUGGUACAGACCCUGAGUUUGACAGCCAACCCCCCAAGAUGCGAGAGGAGAGAAGGGCAGUCGUGGAGACAGAGGAGGCUGGAGACAACACAGGCCUGGAGAGAGAGGAGCUGGGGUCAAUUAUUCCCGGUGACUGUCCUCCUCCGAGUAGUAUUUUGGGGCGAAGCUACAGGGAGAGGCAGGGCCUGAGGGUGAGUGACAGCCGACCUGGCCAUAGGGAGACACCAUUGAAUACUGAUGUUGGUAAGUCCAGACUCAGAUAAUGGGUUCCCUUCCUGUAUUCUCAUGCCUUCUAUUCUCCUCUCAUCUGAAGUCAGAUUUGUGUGUGUGUGUGUGCGUUUUGUGUGUGUGUGUGUGCGCAUACAUAUUUCUCCACAGUCAUCAGUGUGUUUUCCACUCCCUCUGUAGGUACGUUCAGUGGGCUGCGUAUCGGAGAAGUACAGUCUGUCAGAGAGCUGUCCAGACCAGAGUUCGUCAUACACCCUCACCGCUACUUCAACCAUAGCGCCAAAACCAGCCCAAUAUUCACACCCCUACCUGCCAACACUGAGGGUACGCCCCUUAUUGGUGUGAAAAGGAAUAUACAAAAAUAUCAGUACAAAGUUUGACUAAUAAGUAGUCUUAAGAUAAUAUAUAGUUUUGAGAUAAUACAGGUCUGUUGUUUUGUGUCAGACUACCUUCAGGAUGUUUUUCCCUCUCUGUGCCCUCCUGCAGUGGUGAAGGCUGCCUUUGACCAGCGGAGUCUGUUCCCUAAAGAGCUUCUGGAUGAGGAGGACAGGCCUAGCCAUGGAGCCAGGAAACAGGGGAGCAGGGAGAACCGGAUCAACGACAGGGGGCGUGGGAGGAAGGACAGGUGAGGGAGAUUGACAGUCAUGUCAGAGAACAGAUAUGUGUGACCUAGCAGGACAGAUUUGAACUGAUCAGUCAUUGUUUUUUCCCCACUAUAGACAAAGAAAGGGUAGUUCCUCUGGAGCCUUCAAGUGAAGACGUCAUUUAUAUUGUUAUCUACUUUAUCACGUUUCAAUAUAACUUAAAUGUCUGUCAAAUUAAAUCUGAUCAAUCAAGACACGAGUGUGUUUAUGUCUCUCUGCUUCCCCUCAUGAGAAAGUACUACUAAAUUACUACUACAUUACUACUACAUUACUAUUACAGUACUACUACAGUACUACUACAUUACUACUACAGUACUACUACAGUACUACUACAUUACUACUACAGUACUACUACAGUACUACUACAGUACUACUACAUUACUACUACAUUACUACUAAAUUACUACCACAUUUGCUACUACUACUUGAUUGCUAUUGAGAUGUGUGGUAAACCAGUAUUGAUUUAUGUAGUAAUUAGUGAUAAAUUUCACUACUUGUGAGCACUUGAUAUUUCCUACUCAAUUCUGGCGUGUUCACUAUCGAAUUACAACCAAAUGCCUAUAUAUUUCUACUGUAUCCCUUCUGCCAUUUACCUGUGUAGUGUCAGUACUGAUCACUACUGCCAUUUACCUGUGUAGUGUCAGUACUGAUCACUACUGCCAUUUACCUGUGUAGUGUCAGUACUGAUCACUACUGCCAUUUACCUGUGUAGUGUCAGUACUGAUCACUACUGCCAUUUACCUGUGUAGUGUCAGUACUGAUCACUACUGCCAUUUACCUGUGUAGUGUCAGUACUGAUCACUACUGCCAUUUACCUGUGUAGUGUCAGUACUGAUCACUACUGCCAUUUACCUGUGUAGUGUCAGUACUGAUCACUACUGCCAUUUACCUGUGUAGUGUCAGUACUGAUCACUACUGAGUUGUUCCUGAUCCUUUUUCAUUUCCUACAUUAAACUUUUUGAAUUACUAUUGAACAUGGACACAUUUACUACUGGUUGCCUAUUCAGAAUCACUUUUUAAAAUUGUAUUUUUUAUUUUAUUUAACUAGGAAAGUCAGUUAAGAACAAAUUCUUAUUUUCAAUGACGGCCUAGGAACAGUGGGUUAACUGCCUGUUCAGGGGCAGAACGACAGAUAUUUACCUCGUCGGCUUGGGGAAUUGAUCCAGCAACCUUUCGGUUACAAGUCCAACUCUCUAACCACUAGGCUAUUUAUCUUAAAUCACUAACCUGUCACUACUAGACUAAUGCACAUGUUCUUUCCUCAAGUUUCUAACUGUAGUUAUAUAAUCAAACAGGAAAUAGUACUCGUACAGACUAAAUUAAACGUGCCUGUUUAUAUAAUGAAUAAGAGUUUUGGGGGCUAAAAGUAAUGAAAUAUUAAAGCUUUAAACCUCUCUCUAAAAGCUUCACUCACACAUAAAUGAUCCUUAAACCCAAAAUGGUUCUCCAGUAGAAAGACUCAUCCGUUGUGCCUUUCUAUGGAUUACACCUUCUCACUUCCGACUAAUUGAAAAUGACAUUUUGUUAAAAGUAUCACCCCCUGUUUUUAACAAGCCAUUCAAAACUGCUUCCAAUUUCAGUUUUUAUUCUCCUUGAAAAUAUAGAACAAAUAUUACAUCAAAUGUAAUGGUUAAACUCAAAUAUACUGAUUCAUUAAAAAUUAAAAAACAC